rnacentral:rRNA from 1 species
GACGAACGCUGGCGGCGUGCUUAACACAUGCAAGUCGAACGGAAAGGCCCUGCUUUUGUGGGGUGCUCGAGUGGCGAACGGGUGAGUAACACGUGAGUAACCUGCCCUUGACUUUGGGAUAACUUCAGGAAACUGGGGCUAAUACCGGAUAGGAGCUCCUGCUGCAUGGGGGGGGUUGGAAAGUUUCGGCGGUUGGGGAUGGACUCGCGGCUUAUCAGCUUGUUGGUGGGGUAGUGGCUUACCAAGGCUUUGACGGGUAGCCGGCCUGGGAGGGUGACCGGCCACAUUGGGACUGGGAUACGGCCCAGACUCCUACGGGAGGCAGCAGUGGGGAAUAUUGCACAAUGGGCGGAAGCCUGAUGCAGCAACGCCGCGUGCGGGAUGACGGCCUUCGGGUUGUAAACCGCUUUCGCCUGGGACGAAGCGUGAGUGACGGUAAUGGGUAAAGAAGCACCGGCUAACUACGUG